rnacentral:ncRNA from 1 species
UUCGACAAAGGUAAACUCCGAGUGAUCGGAGGACGCAAAGUAAAGGGUCUUGUAACCGUGGAUAGUGUUCGUAAACAGUGUCAGUAUAAAUAACAGACACUUACACUUAUAACUGACACGAUAGAAAUAAGAUAGCCUUACUGCCGAAG